UCCCUCACGGGUGGUUCUCCUCUGUGGCCAGGUAUGACGCUGCACAGAGCCCUGGAGUGGGUCUCUUCCCCGCCCCGCAGCCAGUUUCACUGGUUGCCAAUGAAAACCCAGGUAAUGGGAGGGUGGACAGGGCUUGCCCCCUCCCCAUUCCUAUUCCCACCAACGCAGGCUGCACUCUUGGGGGUCUUGAGGGUGGGGCAUUGCGCCCUCCCCCCCACUGGUUUUUCUGCUCUGUGCCCAGGUAUAAAGCUGCACAGAGCCCUGGAGUGGACCUUCUGCACCCCCCGCCAGCCAGUUCCACUGAUUGGCAUUGCAAACUGAGAUAUCGAGCUCCUCAGAGCCCUGGAGUGGGUCUCCUGCAGCCCCCCCGGCAGCCAGUUCCACUGGUUUACAUUGGAAACCGCGGGACAGACCUGCAUUAUGCCCUGGAUUGCGCUUCCUGCCCCCCCCGACAGUUCCAGUCAUUUGCAAUGGAAACCGAGGUAAGCGGAGNGUGGGGAGGCCUUGCNCCCUCCCCAUUCGUAUCCUUGGCAACGCAGGCUGCAGCCGACAGCCUUCUGGGACCUCUGGGUGCAAGGUUAGACCCUUCCCUGCUUUCUCCCCCAUUUUUGAUCCGGUGCACCCCGAUACAGACCUGCAUGUCGCUCUGGAGUGGGCCUCCUGCCCCCCCUGCCAGCCAGUCCCACUGGUUUGCAUUGGAAACCAAGGUAAGUGGAGGGGGGGGAGGGCUUGCUCCCUCCCCAUUCCUAUUCCCACCAACACAGGCUGCACUCUUGGGGGUCCCGUGGGUGCGGGAUUCGGCCCUUCUCCCCUCCCUCACCCAUUUUUCUCCGUGUACACCCAGGUAUGCACCUGUAUGACGAUCUGCAGGGGGCCUCUUGCCCCCCCAUCAGCCAGUUCCACAGGUUUGCUACGAAAAGUCAGGUGACCUGAGGAUGGGGAGGGCUUCUCUCCUACCUUUUCCUAGUCCCAGCAAUGCAGGCUGCACUCUUAGAUGACCUGUGGGUGGGGGAUGGACCCUGUUCUCCUCCCUCACCCGUUUUUUUCUCUGUGCCCGACUAUGCAGCUACACGGAGCCCGGGAGUCGGCCACCUGCGCCCCCUGCCCCCCAGUUCCUCUAGUUUGCCCUGCAAACCCAGGUACAGACCUGCAUUAUGUCCUGGAGUGCGCAUCCUCACCCCCACUGGGUUUUCUCCUCUGUGCUCUNGUGUGGAGCUGCACAGAGCUCUGCAGUGGGCUUUCUACNCCCCCACCAUCCAUUUACACUGGUUUGCAUUCGAAACUGAUCUAAGCGGAGGGUGUGGAGGGCUGGCCACUCCCCAAUCCUGCUCCGGACAGCGCAGGCUGCACUCUUGGACGUUGUGUGGCUGGAGGAUAGGCCCUUCACCCCCCCACACCGGUUUUUCCCCAUCUGCACUCAGCUACGGACCGGCANGUCACCCUGGAGUGGGUUUCCUGUACCCCCCCAUCCGCCAGUUCCACUGGUUUGCAUUGGAAACCGAAGUAACUGGAGGGAGAGAGCAGCUUGAACCGUUCUCAUUCCUUUUUCUGCGAAUUUCAGAUGCAGCUUUGGGGAUUCUCUGGGUUGGGGAUAGGUAUUUCCCCUUUCGUCACUGGUUUUUCGCCUCUGUGUACAGGUAUGGAAUUGCACAGAGCCCUGGACUGGGCCUCCUGCGCCCCUCGACAACCAGUUCCACAUGAAAGGGUGGUUGGGCCCGUGAGUGGAGGUGGGAGGUCAGGUCAGCAGUCGGCGCUCUCCCUGGGGAUUCCUGUCUAGCCUUAGGAAUAGGGACUCGAGGCUAGCUGUGGCGGUGGGGGUCACGCCGUUCCGCUCAGGGCCGG
rnacentral:lncRNA from 1 species